UAGCUUCGAUCAACAAUAGUAACUAGAUUUCGGGUCGGUGCAUAAAAUCCGUCUCGUCAAAUAACAGCGCACUUGAAAUGUGAGCUCUUAUUUUGUUUAGUUCACUUCAAACACAGCCAAUGUCAACCCGUCUCACAAUACCGCAGUGUGUAUUCAAAAGUUGCAAAAAUAAGGCCCGAAAAAGCAAUUUAACGGCCGGAGUAUCUUACUUUCGCUUUCCUAGCAAUCACGUGUGCAGAAUGGAUCUCGAUUGUCGCCAGAGAAACAAGAGAUGACUUUUAUAAGCCAGCUAAGAACUCCGCUUAUUGACACUGGACAUCUUUGCCUUCCGUGCUCACGGCUACUGAAAUGUGGCCGAAACAUUGUAAUAAAAAUACCACGCUUGAAACCGUUUAAA